rnacentral:rRNA from 1 species
GACGAACGCUGGCGGCGUGCUUAACACAUGCAAGUCGAACGGGUCUGCCCUGUUUUUUGCGGGGUGGGUCAGUGGCGAACGGGUGAGUAACACGUGAGUAACCUGCCCCUCACUUCUGGAUAACCGCUUGAAAGGGUGGCUAAUACGGGGUGUUCUGGCUGUGCCGCAUGGUGUGGCUGGGAAAGAUUCACUUUUGUGGUGUUUUGGUGGGGGAUGGGCUCGCGGCCUAUCAGCUUGUUGGGGGGGUGAUGGCCUGCCAAGGCUUUGACGGGGAGCCGGCCUGAGAGGGUGGGCGGUCACACUGGGACUGAGAUACGGCCCAGACUCCUGCGGGAGGCAGCAGUGGGGGGUAUUGCACAAUGGGCGGAAGCCUGAUGCAGCGACGUCGCGUGAGGGAUGGAGGCCUUCGGGUUGUGAACCUCUUUCGCCGGUGAAGAAGGUCCUGCUCUUUGUGGUGGGGUUGACGGUAGCCGGGUUAUGAAGCGCCGGCUAACUACGUG